GGGCGCAUAGCUCAGUUGGUUAGAGCGUUGCAUUGACAUUGCAGAGGUCUCAGGUUCGAAUCCUGAUGUGCCCA
rnacentral:tRNA from 2 species